rnacentral:rRNA from 1 species
AUUGAACGCUGGCGGCAGGCCUAACACAUGCAAGUCGAGCGGAGCGGCGGACGGGUGAGUAAUGCCUAGGAAUCUGCCUGGUAGUGGGGGAUCACGUCCGGAAACGGGCGCUAAUACCGCAUACUAUCAGAUGAGCCUAUGUCGGAUUAGCUCGUUGGUGGGGUAAAGGCAUACCAGGUCGACGAUCCGUAACUGGUCUGCGAGGAUGAUCAGUCACACUGGAAAUGAGAAACGGUCCAGACUCCGACGGGAGGCAGCAGUGGGGAAUAUUGGACAAUGGGCGAAAGCGUGGGCCAGCCAUGCCGCGUGUGUGAAGAAGGUCUUCGGAGUGUAAAGCACUGGAAGUUGGGAGGCGUUACCAACAGAGUAAGCACCGGCUAACUGCAGGCCAGCAGCCGCGGUAAUAC